rnacentral:rRNA from 1 species
UACGGAGGGUGCGAGCGUUGUCCGGAAUCAUUGGGCGUAAAGGGCGCGUAGGUGGCCUUCUAAGUUGAACGUGAAAUCCCUGGGCUCAACCCAGGAACUGCGUCCAAGACUGGGAGGCUUGAAUCCGGGAGAGGGAUGCGGAAUUCCAGGUGUAGCGGUGAAAUGCGUAGAUAUCUGGAGGAACACCGGUGGCGAAGGCGGCAUCCUGGACCGGUAUUGACACUGAGGCGCGAAAGCCAGGGGAGCGAACAGG